AAUGAACGCUGGCGGCGUGCCUAACACAUGCAAGUCGAGCGAGAAAGUCUCUUCGGAGAUAAGUACAGCGGCGGACGGGUGAGUAACGCGUGAGAAUUUACCCUUUAGUGAAGAAUACCUCUGAGAAAUCAGGGUUAAUACUGCAUACGUCCCUACGGGAGAAAGGUGGCCUCUUUGCUGCCGCUAAAGGAUAAGCUUGCGUACUAUUAGCUAGUUGGUGAGGUAAAGGCUCACCAAGGCGAUGAUGGUUAGCCGGCCUGAGAGGGUGUACGGCCACACUGGAACUUAGACACGGUCCAGACUCCUACGGGAGGCAGCAGUGAGGAAUAUUGCGCAAUAGGGCGGAAAAGACCUGACGCAGCGACGCCG
rnacentral:rRNA from 1 species